CGUAGGGGCAAGCGUUAUCCGGAUUUACUGGGUGUAAAGGGAGCGUAGACGGUCGUGCAAGUCUGAAGUGAAAGCCCGGGGCUCAACCCCGGGACUGCUUUGGAAACUGUAUAACUAGAGUGCAGGAGAGGUAAGUGGAAUUCCUAGUGUAGCGGUGAAAUGCGUAGAUAUUAGGAGGAACACCAGUGGCGAAGGCGGCUUACUGGACUGUAACUGACGUUGAGGCUCGAAAGCGUGGGGAGCAAACAGGAUU
rnacentral:rRNA from 1 species